rnacentral:siRNA from 1 species
ACAAGAUUGAUCUGAAAGCUUUGC